CGUUUUCGGUCGUUUUCAGCCGAAUUCAGCCACACUUGCAUCGGUCCCUGCGAUAAAACAACCCUAGGGCCCUCGGUGGGCCAAAAAAUCACGAAAAAUUGAAACUUACCGGCGACAGUGCUCUCGGGUGCGGCGGCUCCUCCGGCGUGAGUCGCGUUUUGAUGUUUGGUUCUGAUCAACCUGUAGAGAAAAGAACAGUGAUUACAGUGGUAUAAAAUUUGCAUCGAACGGAGGCCGGGAAGGGCCUCAUCGGAGGCAAAAACAGAGGGGGGUGCGGCGGCGCCGCUGGGCUUCGGCUGGGUUUUUCAGCCGUUUGGCCGAUCGUUUGGCUCCGGUUUGGCGAUAGGCGGACUCAGCAUCGAAAAACGAGCUAGGAGGAGAAAAUUUACCUCGAUCGGCGGUCGAAAACUUCCCCAGUGCAGCGGCGGGCGGCUCCUCCGGCGUCUGGUUCUUCUUCUCCGGCGAGGCACUGGCGGCUAGGUUUUGUGGUCAGGUGUGGGUGGGGUUAUUUAUACCCUUUGCCUUUUAAUCUCAACCGUCCAUCAAGAUUAAAUCUGGUCGUCCGUGCCUGAUUGAAUCUGGGCCGUCCGUACGCGUGAAUCUGGGCCAUCCGUGCGCACGUUUGAUCUGGGCCAUCCGUGCGCGCGGGAUCGGAUCUGGGCUGUCCGAUCGCGCGCACGCGGAUCGCCCACGUGGCCCGUCCCGUGUCAGCGCUUUCUUGCCAUACAGCGUGUCCUGGUUGGUUGGGGCUGCUGACCGGGCCGUUGACGUGGGUGCUGACGUGGCACAACUUUUUUAAAUUGCGUUUUGACUCCCG
rnacentral:lncRNA from 1 species